GACGAACGCUGGCGGCGUGCUUAACACAUGCAAGUCGAACGGAAAGGCCCUGCUUUUGUGUGGUGCUCGAGUGGCGAACGGGUGAGUACCACGUGAGUAACCUGCCCUUGACUUUGGGAUAACUUCAGGAAACUGGGGCUAAUACCGGAUAGGAGCUCCUGCUGCAUGGUGGGGGUUGGAAAGUUUCGGCGGUUGGGGAUGGACUCGCGGCUUAUCAGCUUGUUGGUGGGGUAGUGGCUUACCAAGGCUUUGACGGGUAGCCGGCCUGAGAGGGUGACCGGCCACAUUGGGACUGAGAUAGGGCCCAGACUCCUACGGGAGGCAGCAGUGGGGAAUAUUGCACAAUGGGCGGAAGCCUGAUGCAGCAACGCCGCGUGCGGGAUGACGGCCUUCGGGUUGUAAACCGCUUUCGCCUGUGACGAAGCGUGAGUGACGGUAAUGUGUAAAGAAGCACCGGCUAACUACGUG
rnacentral:rRNA from 1 species